rnacentral:rRNA from 1 species
AUUCCAGCUCCAAUAGCGUAUAUUAAAGUUGUUGCAGUUAAAAAGCUCGUAGUUGGAUUUCUGGCGGGGACCCAAGUACCCCUGGUGGGUGUGCUCGGGCCCGGCCAUCCUUCUGUAAACUUUCGCGCGUCCUUCACCGGUCGGCAAAGGGAUCAGAUAAUUUACCUUGAGAAAAUUAGAGUGUUUCAGGCAGGCUUAGCCGGAAUACAUUAGCAUGGAAUAAUGGAAUAGGACUGAGGUCUCGUUGUUGGUUACGCGGACUACAGUAAUGAUUGAUAGGGACAGUUGGGGGCAUUAGUAUUUAAUAGCUAGAAGUGGAAUUCUCUAAUUUGUUAAAGACUAACUUAUGCGAAAGCAUUUGCCAAGGAUGUUUUCAUCG